rnacentral:lncRNA from 1 species
AAUACACGGUGCUGUGGCUGAGGUUAAUAAACGGUGCUGUGGCUGAGGUUAAUAAACGGUGCUGUGGCUGAGGUUAAUAAACGGUGCUGUGGCUGAGGUUAAUAAACGGUGCUGUGGCUGAGGUUAAUACACGGUGCUGUGGCUGAGGUUAAUAAACGGUGCUGUGGCUGAGGUUAAUAAACGGUGCUGUGGCUGAGGUUAAUAAACGGUGCUGUGGCUGAGGUUAAUAAAUGGUGCUGUGGCUGAUAAACGGUGCUGUGGCUGAGGUUAAUAAACGGUGCUGUGGCUGAGGUUAAUAAACGGUGCUGUGGCUGAGGUUAAUACACGGUGCUGUGGCUGAGGUUAAUACAUGG